UACGUAGGUGGCAAGCGUUGUCCGGAUUUACUGGGCGUAAAGAGCGCGCAGGCGGUCGUUUAAGUCGAAUGUGAAAGCCCCCGGCUCAACUGGGGAGGGUCAUUCGAUACUGAUCGACUUGAAGGCAGGAGAGGGAAGUGGAAUUCCGGGUGUAGUGGUGAAAUGCGUAGAUAUCCGGAGGAACACCGGUGGCGAAGGCGGUUCUCUGGGCAUUACCUGACGCUGAGGAGCGAAAGUGUGGGGAGCGAACAGG
rnacentral:rRNA from 1 species